rnacentral:rRNA from 1 species
GACGAACGCUGGCGGCGUGCCUAAUACAUGCAAGUUGAGCGCUGAAGGUUGGUACUUGUACCAACUGGAUGAGCAGCGAACGGGUGAGUAACGCGUGGGGAAUCUGCCUUUGAGCGGGGGACAACAUUUGGAAACGAAUGCUAAUACCGCAUAAAAACUUUAAACACAAGUUUUAAGUUUGAAAGAUGCAAUUGCAUCACUCAAAGAUGAUCCCGCGUUGUAUUAGCUAGUUGGUGAGGUAAAGGCCCACCAAGGCGAUGAUACAUAGCCGACCUGAGAGGGUGAUCGGCCAAAUUGGGACUGGGAAACGGCCCAAACUCCUACGGGAGGGCGCAGGAGGGGAUCUUCGGCAAUGGACGAAAGUCUGACCGAGCAACGCCGCGUGAGUGAAGAAGGUUUUCGGAUCGGAAAACUCUGUUGGUAGAGAAGAACGUUGGUGAGAGUGGAAAGCUCAUCAAGUGACGGUAACUACACAGAAAGCGACGGCUAACUACGUG